AUUGAACGCUGGCGGCAGGCCUAACACAUGCAAGUCGAACGGAGUGGCGGACGGGUGGGUAAUGUCUGGGAACUGCCUGAUGGAGGGGGAUAACUAUUGGAAACGAUAGCUAAUACCGCAUACUGUGAGAUGGACCUGCGUUGUAUGAGCUAGUUGGUGAGGUAAAGGCUCGCCAAGGCGACGAUACAUAGCCGACCUGAGAGGGUGAUCGGGCACGCUGGGACUGAGACACGGCCCAGACUCCUACGGGAGGCAGCAGUAGGGAAUCUUCGGGAAGUGACGGAAUUCUGACCGAGCAACGCCGCGUGAGUGAAGAGGGUUUUCGGAGCGUAAAGCUCUGUGGUUAGAGAAGCGGUAACUAACCAGAAAGGGAAGGCUAACUACGUGCCAGCAGCCGCGGUAAUAC
rnacentral:rRNA from 1 species